AUUGAACGCUGGCGGUAGGCCUAACACAUGCAAGUCGAACGGUAACAGGAAGCAGCUUGCUGCUUCGCUGACGAGUGGCGGACGGGUGAGUAAUGUCUGGGAAACUGCCUGAUGGAGGGGGAUAACUACUGGAAACGGUAGCUAAUACCGCAUAAUGUCGCAAGACCAAAGAGGGGGACCUUCGGGCCUCUUGCCAUCGGAUGUGCCCAGAUGGGAUUAGCUUGUUGGUGGGGUAACGGCUCACCAAGGCGACGAUCCCUAGCUGGUCUGAGAGGAUGACCAGCGACACGCGAACUGGGACACGGGCCAGACUCCUACGGGAGGCAGCAGUGGGGAAUAUUGCACAAUGGGCGCAAGCCUGAUGCAGCCAUGCCGCGUGUAUGAAGAAGGCCUUCGGGUUGUAAAGUACUUUCAGCGGGGAGGAAGGGAGUAAAGUUAAUACCUUUGCUCAUUGACGUUACCCGCAGAAGAAGCACCGGCUAACUCCGUGCCAGCCGCCGCGGUAA
rnacentral:rRNA from 1 species